UACGGGGGGAGCAAGCGUUGUUCGGAUUUACUGGGCGUAAAGGGCGCGUAGGCGGUCGUGACAAGUCACUUGUGAAAUCUCCGGGCUUAACUCGGAACGGUCAAGUGAUACUGUCGAACUAGAGUACAGAAGGGGCAACUGGAAUUCUCGGUGUAGCGGUGAAAUGCGUAGAUAUCGAGAGGAACACCUGCGGCGAAGGCGGGUUGCUGGGCUGAUACUGACGCUGAGGCGCGAAAGCCAGGGGAGCGAACGGG
rnacentral:rRNA from 1 species